rnacentral:rRNA from 1 species
UACGUAGGGUGCAAGCGUUGUCCGGAAUUAUUGGGCGUAAAGAGCUCGUAGGCGGUUUGUCGCGUCUGCUGUGAAAACUCGGGGCUUAACUCCGGGCCUGCAGUGGGUACGGGCAGACUAGAGUGCGGUAGGGGAGACUGGAAUUCCUGGUGUAGCGGUGAAAUGCGCAGAUAUCAGGAGGAACACCGGUGGCGAAGGCGGGUCUCUGAGCCGUAACUGACGCUGAGGAGCGAAAGCGUGGGGAGCGAACAGG